AGAAAUAUGUCUGACAAAAGAGUUACUUUGAUAGAGUAAAACAUAGGAGUCUAAGCCCCCUUAUUUCUA
rnacentral:tRNA from 1 species